rnacentral:rRNA from 1 species
CAUGCAAGUCGAACGGAGCUGAGAGGAGCUUGCUUUUCUCAGCUUAGUGGCGAACGGGUGAGUAACGCGUGAGUAACCUGCCCUGGAGUGGGGGACAACAGUUGGAAACGACUGCUAAUACCGCAUAAGCCCACGAUCCGGCAUCGGAUUGAGGGAAAAGGAUUUAUUCGCUUCAGGAUGGACUCGCGUCCAAUUAGCUAGUUGGUGAGGUAACGGCCCACCAAGGCGACGAUUGGUAGCCGGACUGAGAGGUUGAACGGCCACAUUGGGACUGAGACACGGCCCAGACUCCUACGGGAGGCAGCAGUGGGGGAUAUUGCACAAUGGGGGAAACCCUGAUGCAGCGACGCCGCGUGGAGGAAGAAGGUUUUCGGAUUGUAAACUCCUGUCGUUAGGGGCGAUAAUGACGGUACCUAACAAGAAAGCACCGGCUAACUACGUGCCAGCAGCCGCGGUAAAACGUAGGGUGCAAGCGUUGUCCGGAAUUACUGGGUGUAAAGGGAGCGCAGGCGGACCGGCAAGUUGGAAGUGAAAACUAUGGGCUCAACCCAUAAAUUGCUUUCAAAACUGCUGGCCUUGAGUAGUGCAGAGGUAGGUGGAAUUCCCGGUGUAGCGGUGGAAUGCGUAGAUAUCGGGAGGAACACCAGUGGCGAAGGCGACCUACUGGGCACCAACUGACGCUGAGGCUCGAAAGCAUGGGUAGCAAACAGGAUUAGAUACCCUGG